AUUGAACGCUGGCGGCAGGCCUAACACAUGCAAGUCGAACGAGUGGCGGACGGGUGAGUAAUGUCUGGGAAACUGCCCGAUGGAGGGGGAUAACUACUGGAAACGGUAGCUAAUACCGCAUACCAUCGGAUGUGCCACGAUGGGAUUAGCUAGUAGGUGGGGUAACGGCUCACCUAGGCGACGAUCCCUAGCUGGUCUGCGAGGAUGACCAGCCACACGUGAACGAAGACACGGGCCAGACUCCUCCGGGACGCAGCAGUGGGGAAUAUUGCACAAUGGGAGCAAUCCUGAUGCAGCCAUGCCGCGUGUAUGACGAAGGCCUUCGGGUUGUAAAGUACUUUCAGCGAGGAGGCGUUACUCGCAGAAGAAGCACCGGCUAACUCCGUGCCAGCAGCCGCGGUAAUUC
rnacentral:rRNA from 1 species